AACUACGGCCAUACCACCCUGAACACGACUGAUCUCGUCUGAUCUUGGAAGCUAAGCAGGACCGGGCCUGGUUAGUAUUUGGAUGGGAGACCAACAGGGAAUACUGGGUGCUGUAUGCU
ensembl:rRNA n-R5s41 nuclear encoded rRNA 5S 41